AAUCAACGCUGGCGGCGUGCCUAACACAUGCAAGUCGAACGAGAAGGUGACUUCGGUCACUGGAUAGUGGCGUCCGGGUGAGUAACACGUAGGUAAUCUACCUUCGGGUGGGGAAUAACGUCUCGAAAGAGACGCUAAUACCGCAUAAUGCAGCGGCACCUAAUGGUGAUUAGUUGUUAAAGCGGGGAUCUUCGGACCUCGCGCCUGAAGAGGAGCCUGCGGCAGAUUAGCUAGUUGGUGAGGUAAUGGCUCACCAAGGCUUCGAUCUGUAGCUGGUCUGAGAGGACGGCCAGCCACACUGGCACUGACACACGGGCCAGACUCCUACGGGAGGCAGCAGUGGGGAAUUUUGGGCAAUGGGCGAAAGCCUGACCCAGCAACGCCGCGUGAAGGAGGAAAUCCUUCGGGAUGUAAACUUCAUAAGUAAGGGAAGAAAGCUGCGGAUCGAAUAAGUCCGCAGUCCGACGGUACCUUACGUAAGCCACGGCUAA
rnacentral:rRNA from 1 species